rnacentral:tRNA from 1 species
CAAAUUAAAGCUUUAAUAAGCAUUUUAUUUACAUUAAAAAGAUAUUUGUGAAAUUCAAUUUAGUUUGA